GCCAGUAACCAUAUCACCGUGCAGCUCUCAACUGGCUACCCACUGAAGCUAAGCUGAGUUGAGCCUGUUCAUUAGCUGGAUGGGAGACCUCCUGGGAAGCUAUGGUUGCUACUGGAA
rnacentral:rRNA from 1 species